ensembl:lincRNA
AAAGAAGAGAGAAAAAAAAUUCUUACAGAAAGAGCUGAUUAUUCAGGAGUAAAUCUAAGGAAAUUCUUACUUGAGAUGCUUUACUCAAACUUGUGUUGUGUCUGCUUGUUUGAGGGGUCCAAGCCUGUGUAUUGUAAGAUUCAUCACUGAAGGUGAAGAUGUUGCUGGCCUAUUCAGAUUGAUAACAUGCAUUUCUCCCCCACAUCUAGCUACGUGGUGAACAUGGGUCUGAUUGACAAACUGUGUGCCUGCUUCCUCUCGGUGCAAGGCCCAGUGGAUGAGAAUCCCAAGAUGGCCACAUUUCUGCAGCAUGCCACAGGACUCUUACAUGCAAUGUGCACAUUGUGCUUUGCUGUCACUGGAAGGUCAUACAGCAUAUUUGACAAUAAUCGCCAGGAUCCCACAGGGCUGACAGCUGCUCUUCAGGCAACCGACCUGGCUGGAGUUCUUCAUAUGCUCUACUGUGUCCUCUUCCAUGGCACCAUCUUGGACCCUAGCACUGCCAGUCCCAAGGAAAAUUACACCCAAAAUACCAUUCAAGUAGCCAUUCAGAGUUUACGUUUCUUCAACAGCUUUGCAGCUCUUCAUCUGCCUGCUUUUCAGUCUAUUGUAGGGGCAGAGGGCUUGUCCCUUGCAUUCCGGCACAUGGCCAGCUCCCUGCUGGGCCACUGCAGCCAAGUCUCCUGUGAAAGCCUCCUUCAUGAGGUCAUCGUCUGUGUGGGCUACUUCACUGUUAACCACCCAGAUAACCAGGUAAUAGUGCAGUCCGGCCGCCACCCCACAGUGCUGCAGAAGCUCUGCCAGUUGCCCUUCCAGUAUUUCAGUGACCCACGGCUGAUCAAAGUACUGUUCCCUUCACUUAUCGCUGCUUGUUACAACAACCAUCAGAACAAGAUCAUUCUGGAGCAAGAGAUGAGCUGUGUUUUACUGGCCACUUUCAUUCAGGAUUUGGCACAGACUCCAGGUCAAGCAGAAAACCAGCCUUACCAGCCCAAAGGGAAAUGCCUUGGUUCCCAAGACUAUCUUGAGCUGGCUAACAGAUUUCCUCAGCAGGCCUGGGAAGAAGCUCGACAGUUUUUCUUGAAAAAAGAGAAAAAAUAAAUAAAUGUUUUGGUUGAUUCUGUAUUUGAGUACCCUUGUUAAUAUUUUAAAUUGUUCAAACAAACAUUCUAAUUGUUCCUUAAGAACUCAUUUUCACAUGUUUAUACUCUCCCCACACUGUAGAUAUGGCAUGUACUUUACACUAUUUAUGACUGUAGAUACUUGAAUGUUCUACUUGCUAAUUUUGCAAGUUGAGUGUAUUUCAUUUAUGCAAAAUAUCUUGGAGUUUGAUAACUUCCAUCUAAUGAUAAUAUAUACUUUGCAUUUGUAAUAUUGGUGAAAGUAGACAUAAAAUUAGCAAGUCUGUUUUGUUCUUGUAAUAAAAUAACUUAUUCUGUUUUCAUUGUUGACUUUUCAUGUUAAGGAAAUACAAAUCUGAAAGAAAAAUGUUAACUCCACCCCUUGAAGUAUCUUAAAUAAAGACUUAAUUAAAGUUUACCUGCUCUAAAUUUAACUUUUAAAGGUCUACGGUAAAGAUAUUUGCAACACUUUUACAUUCUGACUACAUAAUAUGUUUGGGGACUAUUUGAAAUCAACUUAGGGCAUUGUAUUCAUUGGUCUGCCUGGGAACCUCUCUCCUCGCGGAUAAUUCUGAGAACUUCUCUUGGCAUUGCCAAGCCGAAAUUAUUCUCCUAAGUAAAAAUUAGUGAUAAAAAAGAUGUGUCCUAGUGAAUCACCCUAGAGUAUUUUCUCUCAUGGUUGUGAAAUGAAGCAACGCUGAAGUAAAAG